ACCCUAGUUUAGUGCUAAAAUCAGAUCAAAGUGAAUGGAGCCUAUCGUUUCCACUCGGCUGUGUACUGCGGAGCCAAUUCUGGACCAGUCGCGUGGUGGCUUACGACACCACUUUAUACGUGGUCAGCAUCAAGUAUGAAGACUUUGGAUGCUAUGUGGCCCUGUCGGUACUAUCAACAGACCCCGCCCCCAAAACGGGAUACCUAACAGUCUACAACAAACUCACAGGGGAACCUCACACCUGGACGGGGGAGAUUCACCCUCUUUCCCCAAACCUCCCCUACUAUACCGAAGCUAGCUGCCUAAAACUGGAUAUAGCCAGAUUGGACCUGAUCCCAAGCAGUGCGAACCUGAAACUGGUGAAUCGGGAGUUGGUGGUAGCGUCUCCAAACAAAGUGAUCGUCGGUAGGCCUGACUUGGACGAAAUAUACCUGACGGUUUUUGUGAAAAUUCUGAACAUUGUGUAGUGAUAUGUGAAGAUUCUUCGUGGUUUUGUAAGUAACUUUAUUUUUUUAAAUACCAACAUGGUAUUGUGUAAUUAGAAUUACUA